AAUUUUUUAGUUUAUUUAAAAAUUUUUAAUUGUCAUUUAGAGGAUCUUAUAAUUGCAAAAAAUUG
rnacentral:tRNA from 1 species